rnacentral:lncRNA from 1 species
GUUACCAUUUCUUUCUUUUUGUUUUUUAGUUGCAGUUGAACACAAUACCUUUACUUUAUUUCUAUGUGGUGCUGAGGAUCGAACCCAGGGCCCCAUACGUGCUAGAUGAGUGCUCUACUGCUGAGCCACAACCCCAGCCCUCAAAUAGUUACCAUUUCUUUACGGUGAAAACUUUAAUUUACUCUUACCUCUUGCUUAGUUUUCAGAAUGAAAAGUGUGUGGCCCACUUAGACUUGAUGAGAUAUUCAGGCAAUCUGCAUUACUAUUCUUUAAAAAAGUUAUCCCUUAUAUUUCCUCCUUUGCCCUCAGGGCCUCUUUUUGACCCCUUUCUCCCAGCACACACACAUUUGAAUAAAGUUCCUGAUGAGGAAACAGGCAAAAAAAAAAAAAAAAGACACCUUUAAACAGAAGCAAUGAGAGAGAAAACCAGAGCAGUUCUAUACCAAUGAAAAAAAUUGCUUCCAUCAUGAAACAUCUUUCCGUAAAAGAAGCCGCAGGCCCAGAGGUGGCAUGGGGACUUUCUACCUCCCAUUUGCAGGGAAAUUAUGUCAACAAUACACAAUCCUCUCCAGAGGAACAGAGAAACAUGGGCUCUUUAGCUGGUUUAUGAGACAAGCAUAACCUUGAAACUGACUUCAGAAGCAUAAUCCAGAGAAGAAAAUCACUGGCCAGUCUCAGAACAUGUACACAGAAGCAGAAAUCCUAAAUAAAAUAUUCCCAAAUCACCCAUCCACGUAUAAGAAUAAUAAAACACCAUAACCAGGCAUAGUGGCACACUCCUAUAGAAUCCCAGCUCCUCGGGAGACUGAGGCAGGAGGAUUGCAAAUUCAAGGCCAGCCUGGUAACUUGUUGACCCUGUCUCAAAAUAAAAAGGGCUGGGGACGUACCUCAGUGAUAGUGCAUCCCUGGGUUCAAUCCCCAGGACCAAGAAGAAAGAAAAGAAGAAGACAUCAUGGCCAUGUUUGAUUUUUGAAAUUCAAGAAUGAUUUUUGACAAUUGAAAAUCACCAAUAGUAACUGGCAUUCCUACUGAAGGAAGAAAAUUGUGAUUAUCUCGAUGGCUAUAGAAAGACCAUGUGAUCAAAGCCCACACCUGUACGUAUUCUAAGUAAGUUAGGAUGAAAAGGGAAAUUUCUUUCUUUGGUAAAAAUUGCAAACAAACAAAAAAAGCUUAAUACUUAACGGUGGCAUAUUUAAGUGUAUCCUCAGCCUGGGAACAAGAGAGGAGUCCCCUCAGACACUAUUAUCAGUCUUAUACUAUAUAUUCUAGCCAGGUCAGGCAGGAAGAAAACAAAGGUUUGAGGAUUAGAAAACAAGGAACAGGAAUCACCACUCCCAGGUAGAAUGUGCACAGAAUCAGUCAUAUUGCUGAAAUUAAAAAAAAAAAAAAUUAAUGAGCUUAUAAGGUAACUGAUAAAAAGCCACACCAAAAAUAAUUUGUAUUUUCAUAUACCAACAGC